rnacentral:misc_RNA from 1 species
AACACUGUUAACCUGCGGUACCUGCGGAGGGAUCAUUACUGAAUAGAAAUGGAACUUGGCUGCUGCUGGCUUGCAAAAGCAUUGUGCACGCCUAUUCCAUUUUUUCAAAACCUCCUGUGCACUUUAUGUAGAUCUUCGGAAUUGAACGGAUAAGGAAAGUGCCCUUUGCUUGGCUGCUUUGUCAUUCAUCCUCCGGAGGUCUAUGUUUUUCAAUAUUAUACUCCAUAGUAUGUAUCAGAG